GAUGAACGCUGGCGGCGUGCCUAAUACAUGCAAGUCGAACGCAUUGUGGUUGAAAUGAUAUGAAGAACUUGUUCAGAUUUGAUUUUCAACAUUGCAAUGAGUGGCGAACGGGUGAGUAACACGUGGGAAACCUACCUCUUAGCAGGGGAUAACAUUUGGAAACAAAUGCUAAUACCGUAUAAUAAUUAAAACCGCAUGGUUUUAGUUUAAAAGAUGGUCUUGCUAUCACUAAGAGAUGGUCCCGCGGUGUAUUAGUUAUUGGUGAGGUAAUGGCUCACCAAGACAAUGAUACAUAGCCGAGUUGAGAGACUGACCGGCCACAAUGGGACUGAGACACGGCCCAUACUCCUACGGGAGGCAGCAGUAGGGAAGUCUCCACAAUGGACGAAAGUC
rnacentral:rRNA from 1 species